ensembl:lncRNA
CAGUUUUGCGAAAGAACAUAAAAGCAUUGAAAUAUAAUUUUAACUGUCAUCUCAUAUUUUUCCAUUACUAUGUAAAUUUAGUGUCUAUGUUAUACAGAAAUAUAAUGAAAAAUCAGCGCGUAUUUUUUUUUUUUUUACUUGUUGUUACACAAACACAAAGUAUUGCCUUUGAGUCAGUGGCAUCUCGCACCCAUAAAAUUAUUUUAUAUCUAUUUUUUUCCCCCAACAACACAUAGAAUUACAAAAUUACACAAAGUACAAUAAAGUAACUUGGCACCUUAUCUCACAGUUUUAAUAUUUUUCUCGUAUCGUGAAAUAUAAACACUGAAUUGUGAGAAAAAAGUCAGAAUUGUGAGAUAAAAAGUCACAAUUAUCUUUAUAUAUUUAUUUUUCAUUUCAUGUCAGAAACAAAUUAUUAUCAGAAUUACAAAUUAUUGAUUUUUUUUUUGUAAUAAAGUAAUAGAUCCAGACACUACAGAUCUCAGACUGAUGACUAACGAGUGUGUUUUUGGUUUCUAGAGCGCGUUUAAGUCUCAAGGCACCCGUCUGAUCCCAGACGACCCGACUGAACAAGCGCUCGUCUACCAGCGAAUGUUUGAGACCAACAACCUGCAGCAGAAAAUGUGUAAGUGCCCUAAACAGUCAACACACUUCAACUCUAAAAACAUACAAGCGUCCAGCUUCAACUGCUGCUUCUCGUGUCAAAUCUUGACUGAUUUCUAUGAAGUAGAGGUCAGAAUAAGUAAAAAUAAAUAACUCUUCCGAGAUCCUUCGCUGAAUCAAGCUGUCACGUUCUUCUUCUGAGGUAAAUUCAAGGUUGACUGACUUCAUUAAAAAAAAAAACACUUCAAGCUUUCUUUAUAUAAUUCUCAUGUCUGUGUGUCAAGUAUUCGCUGAUUCAUUUUUAUUUUUGUGGCAUGUUUCAGAAGAAAAUUCACGGAGACCGAGACGGCAGAAAGUGCACCGUUUUUCUUUAUUUUACAAAAGCACGAAGUUUUGUUGAUAUUGCGAAUGCAUACAAAUUAAUGUAGACCUUUUACAGUUUCAAAAAAGUAUCUCUGUUAUCUGUACGAUAAAAAAUAAUGAAAAUUUUAAGUUCUUUUUGCAGUUAUCAGGAAAAAUACAAGUGAUGUUCAAUUUGCUGUUUUGAUGUCAUUUUUCAGUCAAUUUUAAAAUAACGAAAGAACAGUUUUUUGUUUGUUAAAUAACUUGAAAAGUAAAGUAAACUUGAAAGUAUUUAGUAAUCUGACUCUUUUUUUUUUUUUUUUUUUUU